rnacentral:rRNA from 1 species
GCUCUCGAAGAGUCGAGUUGUUUGGGAAUGCAGCUCAAAGUGGGUGGUAAAUUCCAUCUAAAGCUAAAUAUUGGCGAAAGACCGAUAGCGAACAAGUACCGUGAGGGAAAGAUGAAAAGGACUUUGGAAAGAGAGUUAAACAGUACGUGAAAUUGUUGAAAGGAAACGCUUGGAGUCAGUCGCGUCGAACGGGUUCUCAGUGGGGUACGCCCGAUGUACUCCCCGCGACGGGCCAGUAUCGAUUUCGACCGUCGGAGAAAGGUCGAGGGAAGCGUGGCACCUUGGGGUGUGUUAUACCCCUCGCUCUUAUACGACGUUGGGAUGGAGGA